UGGGGGAUAUUGCACAAUGGGCGAAAGCCUGAUGCAGCGACGCCGCGUGGGGGAUGAAGGCCUUCGGGUUGUAAACUUCUUUUGCUCUGAACAAGGCAUGCCUUUGGGGUGUGUUGAGUGUAGGGGUUGAUUAGCGCCGGCUAACUACGUGCCAGCAGCCGCGGUAAUACGUAGGGCGCGAGCGUUGUCCGGAAUUAUUGGGCGUGAAGGGCUUGUAGGUGGCUGGUUGCGUCUGUCGUGAGAGCUCAUGGCUUAACUGUGGGUUUGCGGUGGGUACGGGCUGGCUUGAGUGCAGUAGGGGGGGCUGGGAUUCCUGGUGUGGCGGUGGAAUGCGCAGAUAUCAGGAGAAAUACCGGUGGCGAAGGCGGGUCUCUGGGCUGUUACUGACGCUGAGAAGCGAAAGCGUGGGGAGCGAACAGG
rnacentral:rRNA from 1 species